GAACGAGAACCAACGGAUUGAGGAUUCGUCCAAAUGAAGUUGGGGAAAGUGGCGGACGGGUGAGUAACGCGUGAGCAAUCUGCCUUGGAGUGGGGAAUAACGGUUGGAAACAGCCGCUAAUACCGCAUGAUGCGUCUGGGAGGCAUCUCUCUGGACGCCAAAGAUUUAUCGCUCUGAGAUGAGCUCGCGUCUGAUUAGCUAGUUGGCGGGGCAACGGCCCACCAAGGCGACGAUCAGUAGCCGGACUGAGAGGUUGGCCGGCCACAUUGGGACUGAGACACGGCCCAGACUCCUACGGGAGGCAGCAGUGGGGAAUAUUGGGCAAUGGGCGCAAGCCUGACCCAGCAACGCCGCGUGAAGGAAGAAGGCUUUCGGGUUGUAAACUUCUUUUAAGGGGGACGAACAAAUGACGGUACCCCUUGAAUAAGCCACGGCUAACUACGUGCCAGCAGCCGCGGUAAUACGUAGGUGGCAAGCGUUAUCCGGAUUUAUUGGUGUAAAGGGCGUGU
rnacentral:rRNA from 1 species